AUUGAACGCUGGCGGCAUGCCUUACACAUGCAAGUCGAACGGCAGCGGACCUUCGGGUGCCGGCGAGUGGCGAACGGGUGAGUAAUAUAUCGGAACGUACCUUUCAGUGGGGGAUAACGUAGCGAAAGUUACGCUAAUACCGCAUAUUCUGUGAGCAGGAAAGCAGGGGAUCGCAAGACCUUGCGCUGAUUGAGCGGCCGAUAUCAGAUUAGCUAGUUGGUGAGGUAAAGGCUCACCAAGGCGACGAUCUGUAGCGGGUCUGAGAGGAUGAUCCGCCACACUGGAACUGAGACACGGUCCAGACUCCUACGGGAGGCAGCAGUGGGGAAUUUUGGACAAUGGGCGCAAGCCUGAUCCAGCCAUGCCGCGUGAGUGAAGAAGGCCUCGGUUGUAAGUCC
rnacentral:rRNA from 1 species